AACGAACGCUGGCGGCAUGCCUAACACAUGCAAGUCGAACGAGUCCUGCGGGCAGAGGGGCCCACGGGGGGGUAACGCGGGGGAACCUGCCCUUGGGUGUGGAAUAACUCGCCGAGAGGGGUGCUAAUACGGGAGAAUGGCUGCGGACGAAAGAUGUAUCGCCUUGGGCGGGGCCCGCGUUGGAUUAGCUAGUUGGUAGCGUAAAAGCCUACCAAGGCGACGAUACAUAGAUGGUCUGAGAGGAUGAUCGGGCACACGGGGAAUGAGACACGGCCCAGGCUCGUACGGGAGGCAGCAGUGGGGAAUCGUGGACGAUGGGCGAAAGAGUGAUGCAGCCAUGCCGUGUGAAUGGUGCCGGCGGUAGGGUUGUACCGCACCUUUACCCGGGAUGCUGAUGACAGUACCCAGAGAACACGCUCCGGCUAACUGGGUG
rnacentral:rRNA from 1 species